rnacentral:rRNA from 1 species
UGGGGAAUAUUGGACAAUGGGCGCAAGCCUGAUCCAGCAAUGCCGCGUGUGUGAAGAAGGUUUUCGGAUUGUAAAGCACUUUCGGCGGGGACGAUGAUGACGGUACCCGCAGAAGAAGCCCCGGCUAACUUCGUGCCAGCAGCCGCGGUAAUACGAAGGGGGCUAGCGUUGCUCGGAAUGACUGGGCGUAAAGGGCGCGUAGGCGGAAGUGACAGUCAGACGUGAAAUUCCUGGGCUCAACCUGGGGACUGCGUUUGAGACGUUGCAUCUAGAGUGAGGAAGAGGGUUGUGGAAUUCCCAGUGUAGAGGUGAAAUUCGUAGAUAUUGGGAAGAACACCGGUGGCGAAGGCGGCGACCUGGUCCUUUACUGACGCUGAGGCGCGAAAGCGUGGGGAGCAAACAGG